GACGAACGCUGGCGGCGUGCUUAACACAUGCAAGUCGAACGGAAAGGCCCUGCUUUUGUGGGGUGCUCGAGUGGCGAACGGGUGUGUAACACGUGAGUAACCUGCCCUUGACUUUGUGAUAACUUCAGGAAACUGGUGCUAAUACCGGAUAUGAUCUCCUGCUGCAUGUUGGUGGUUGGUAAGUUUCGGCGGUUGGGGAUGGACUCGCUGCUUAUCAGCUUGUUGGUGGGGUAGUGGCUUACCAAGGCUUUGACGGGUAGCCGGCCUGAGAGGGUGAACGGGCAAAUGGGGAAUGAGAUACGGCACAGAAUACUACGGGAGGCAGCAGUGGGGAAUAGUGCACAAUGGGAGGAAGCAUGAUGAAGAAAAGCAGCGUGCGGGAUGAAGGCCUUCGGGUUGUAAACCGAUUUCGCAUGUGAAGAAGAGUGAGUGACGGUAAUGGGUAAAGAAGCACCGGCUAACUACGUG
rnacentral:rRNA from 1 species